rnacentral:rRNA from 1 species
CAUAAUAUGCCGAGGUCGCAUGACUUUGGUAUUAAAGCAGCAAUGCACUUAGAGAUGAGUGUGCGUCCCAUUAGGUAGUUGGUGAGGUAACGGCUCACCAAGCCUAUGAUGGGUAGCCGGUCUGAGAGGAUGGUCGGCCACACGGGCACUGAGACACGGGCCCGACUCCUACGGGAGGCAGCAGUAAGGAAUAUUGGUCAAUGGUGGAAACACUGAACCAGCCAUGCCGCGUGGAGGAAUAAGGUCCUACGGAUUGUAAACUCCUUUUGACGAGGAAGAAAGUGUUAGAUUUAUCUAAUUUUGACGGUACUCGUAGAAUAAGCACCGGCUAACUCCGUG